UUCUGGCUCAGGAUGAACGCUAGCUACAGGCUUAACACAUGCAAGUCGAGGGGCAGCAUGGUCUUAGCUUGCUAAGGCCGAUGGCGACCGGCGCACGGGUGAGUAACGCGUAUCCAACCUUCCCCUUAGUAGGGCAUAGCCCGUAGAAAUGCGGAUUAAUACCCUAUGUUGUCAGUAGAGGACAUCUGAAGUUGACCAAAGGUUCACCGCUAAGGGAUGGGGAUGCGUCCGAUUAGGCAGUCGGCGGGGUAACGGCCCACCGAGCCGUCGAUCGGUAGGGGUUCUGAGAGGAAGGUCCCCCACACUGGUACUGAGACACGGACCAGACUCCUACGGGAGGCAGCAGUGAGGAAUAUUGGUCAAUGGGCGUAAGCCUGAACCAGCCAAGUAGCGUGCAGGACGACGGCCCUACGGGUUGUAAACUGCUUUUAUGCGGGGAUAACCGGCGCCACGCGUGGCGCCCUGCAGGUACCGCAUGAAUAAGGACCGGCUAAUUCCGUGCCAGCCGCCGC
rnacentral:rRNA from 1 species